rnacentral:lncRNA from 1 species
AAAGAGAAGAAGGAAGAGUCACACAGACAAAGGAACUCGAAGGUUCCAAACGGCAGAGAGAAAGAAGAAAAACAGAAAGUGACGAUCCAAGAGCCAAACAGGGAGUAAGGAGGAUAUUUAUAGUAAAUAUCAUCAACCGUUGAUCAGCGGGUCAAUCCAACGGUCCAAGAGCGACUAAUGGUGUGUGGGCUGGAUAUUGGGCUCGGUUAAGUGGGCCUUCUAGGUAUAUAUAAAAUGGACCAAGUAUUAAAUCCUUUUUUUGGGCCUUUUCAUCAUUGCCUAACAGUUGGACUGGAUCAAAUGGCAUCACAGCCCAACAGAUCUCCACCUUGAUGCCAGUGAUCAUACAAGAAGCCUAAUAAAUGUAAAAUACAAUUUAAAUGUCCUUCUCAAGAAGACAGCUUCCUAGCAUUCUCCACAAGCAUCAACCUUAGCACCUGUGCAGAACAAAACACUUAACCAGCAUCAAUGUUCAAAAUUUGUAAACAAGACUUAAAUUUGUUUAAAGGAAUUACCUUAGUACCUACAUCAGCUGGAUUAUACUGAGUUGCAAUUUUCUCAAGUAAUAUAAGUUCUUUAGAAACAACAUCUCUAAUAAAAUGCAACUUAACAUCAAUAUGUUUUGUUCUUUCAUGAAAAACAGGGUUUUUACAUAGGUGAAUUGCACUUUGACUAUCAGAAUACAAGACAACAGGGUUACUCAAUUCAUUUAUUUCAGAUAAUAAGCCCUUAAGCCAUAAUGUUUCUUUUAUUGCUUCAGUUGCAGCAACAUACUCAGCUUCAGUAGUAGAUAAAGCAACAAUAGAUUGAAGUUGAGAUUUCCAACUAAUGCACGUAUUACACAAAGUAAACAUAUAAGAAGUAGUAGAUUUCCUAUUGUCUCUAUCUCCGGCAAAAUCUGAAUCUACAAAACCCUUAAGUACAACACCUUCAUUACAAGCACUAAAGAUCAAACCAACAUGUGAAGAUCCUUUUAAGUAUCUCAACAGCCAUUUUAGCGCACCCCAAUGGUCUGGUCCUGGAUUAGCCAUAAAUCUACUAAGUGAGCUAAUGGAAUGAGCUACAUCAGGCCUAGUACAUACCAUAGUUUACAUGACAGAACCUACGGCAUUAGCAUAAGGUACAUUUUUCAUUUGCCUAAUGUCAGAUUCACUUACAAGACAUUGCUCUUUACUAAGCUUAAAAUGGCUGGCUAAUGGAAGUGAAACAGAUUUAGAAUUAUGCAUGGCAAACUUAGUCAACAUCUUUUCAAUAUAUGCAGUUUGCUUCAAGUACAGUAUCCUACUGUGCCUUUUCCUAGUGAUUUCCAUACCUAAGAUUCUCUUUGCAUGUCCUAGGUCUUUCAUUUCAAAUUCAGCACUUAAAGACCGUUUUAUCUGAUUAAUAACAUGCAUAUUCUGAUCAAUCAGCAACAUAUCAUCCACAUACAGAAAUAUAAAUGCAAGAAUAGCAUUUUCAUCAUUUCUUUUAAAGUAAAAACAAUGGUCAUAUUCACUUCUUAUGAAACCAAUAGUAGAUACAAAAUUAUCAAACCUUUUGUACCAUUGUCGUGGAGAUUGCUUUAAACCAUAUAAUGAUCUUUUUAAUAGACACACAUGAUCAGAUUUAGUUUCAUCAAUAAAACCAGGUGGCUGUCUCAUAUAAAUCACUUCAUCUAGGUCACCAUGCAAGAAAGCAGUUUUCACAUCCAUUUGUUCAAGUUCAAAAUCAUAAUGAGCAACAAGGGCAAGCAUAACUCUAAUUGUUGUAUACUUUAUCACAGGUGAAAAUAUCUCAUUAUAAUCUAUGCCCUCUUUUUGCGUAAAUCCUUUUGCUACAAGUCUAGCCUUAAAUCUUAUGGGCAUCUUUUCAGUAUCUCCCUCCUUAAUACUAAAGAUCCACUUGCAAUCAACAAGGGUCUUACCUGCAGGUUUUGGAACUAAAGUCCAAGUCUCAUUUUUCAUUAAGGAGUCCAUUUCAUCUAUCAUAGCAGCAUGCCAGUUUUCAGACUGCUUGCAGCUCAUUGCCUCUUCAUAAGAUUUAGGUUCUUUAAACACUAAGUCAUGAUAGGACAAGACAGCAAGUGAAAGGUAAUCUCCAUACCUAACAGGCUCUCUUACUUCUCUCCUAGUCCUAUCUCUAGUUAAUUGGUAAUCUCCCAAUUCAUCAGGCUGACUUUCCUAAUUUUCUUGAACAUUUUCCUCUUCAUUCUCUUGAGGAUCAGAAGCUGUUUCAGCUUCUUCAUCUACCUGUUCAUCACUAAAAGGUUCAGUAGGUAAACCAAGCUCCACCUGCAGCUUGGUACCAUCACCUCCUUCAUCACCAGGUACCCCUUUUGGUUCUUUAUUAUCUAAACAAGGCAUCUUUGACUCAUCAAAGGUAACAUCUCUACUGGUGAUGAUUCUAAAACCUUUUACUUCUUUACUCCAUAGCCUAUAACCUUUAACCCCAUCAGGAUAUCCCAAGAAAACACAUUUCUGGGCUCUAGGUUCAAGUUUUCCUAUACUUUGAUGGGAAUAGGCAGCACAACCAAAGAUUCUUAAAUGUGAAUAAUCAGGAACAUGUCCUGUCCAUAACUCUUCAGGGGUUUUAUCUCCUAGAGCACUUGAGGGGGUCCUAUUAACAAUAUAUGAGGCUGUCAUUACAGCUUCACCCCAUAACACCUUAGGGACACCUGAGCCUAUCAACAUGCACCUAACCUUAUCUAGCAAGGUUCUAUUCAUCCUCUCAGCCACUCCAUUCUGCUGAGGUGUAUAAGGUACAGUUUUAUGCCUUUUAAUACCAGAUUCUUUGCACAACUGAUCAAAUUCAGCAUUGCAAAACUCAAGGCCAUUAUUAGUCCUAAGGAUCUUAAUUUUCUUCCCAAUCUCAUUUUCCACCAGAAUCUUCCAAGUUCUGAAUUUGUCAAAUGUUUCAGAUUUGUGUUUCAACAAAUAAACCCAAACCUUCCUAGAAUGGUCAUCUAUCAAGGACAAGAAAUAUCUAUUUCCUCCUUGAGUAACAGUGGAUGAAGGCCCCCAUAGAUCAGCAUGUAUAUACUCAAGGAUAGAGGUGGUUCUAUGUUUUCCUGUGUUAAAAUGCAGCCUAUGCUGUUUUCCUAAGGUGCAAUUUUCACAAAAAGACACCUUAGAUAUAGAGUCCUUCCCAAACACACCUUUCUUAUAAAGGAUGUGUAGGCCCUUUUCACCUACAUGGGCCAAUCUCUUGAGCCACUUUAAGGUAACAUCAACUUCUACACUAGAAGACUCACUUAUGUGAUCAAACACUGUACUAGCUUUGAUCACAUAAAUUCCAUUUCUUUUAACACCUUUAAAAAUAACAAAUGAUCCUUUUAUCACUUUCAAGAAGCCAUCUCCUAUUUUUCCUUGCAAUCCCAUAUCAUCUAGAUUCCCCAUGGAAAUCAGAUUUCUAUUCAAUUCAGGAACAUAACUCACCCUUUCAAGAGUGUAAAUGUAUCCAUUAUCGAAUUUCAAAGUGACAUUCCCAACUCCCUCAACUCUGCAGGCUACAUUAUUGCCCAUAACUACUUCUCCUCCAUCAAUUUUCUUAAAAUUGUCUAAAUAUGCCCUUUUAUAGGUCAUAUGAAAAGUGCAACCAGAAUCCAAGAUCCAUUCUUGGUUCUGAUUCUCAUCAACAACAUUAGCAGAGCUAGGUAAAUUUUCAGUCACAGCAUAUACAUCAACUGUGGCAAAACCUUCAGAUUCUACCACAUUACCUUCAUCAACACCCUUUUGUUUCUGUUCAUUUUUCUUCUUAUAACAGUCUUUAAUAAAAUGUCCAGAUUUCCCACACCCGUAACACUUCUUAGUCCUAGUCUUUGACUUAGACCUGCCUCUACUUUUAAAUUUUCUCCUACUGUUAUUUCCCUGAUUAUUAUGGCUUUCCUGAGUACCACUAGACCUACUUAAAGUCCUCCCUCUAGCAAACAAGUUCUCAUGGCCACUAUUACCUCUCUCAAGUUCCUUACUCCUUAAAGAGUCUAUAACAAUAUUAGGUGUAAGAGUAUCUCUACCAUACUUAAUGACGGCUUUAACCUCUUUGUAGGCUUCAGGUAUUGCAUUAAGUAGUACUACAGCCUUAUACUCAUCAGAAACUUUCUCACCUGUAUUAAUAAUGUCUUGAACUAACUUAUUAAAAAUAUCUAAGCUAUCCUCUAAGUCUCUAGUUGGAUCUAUCCUAAAGCUAAAAAAUUUCUCCAAUAGAAACAACUUAUUAGGUAAAGACUUAGGUAGGUAAAGUUUUUCUAAUUCAUCCCAUAAGGUCUUAGCAGUAUCAUGUUUGCCUACUUUUCUUAAAACUUGAUCAGAUAAAUGCAAAAUAAUGGAGGUAUAAGCAGGUUCAUCAGAUUCUACCUUUUGAUCAUCUAUCAUGGUAUCAGGAAAUUCAUCUGUUAUUGCUUUAGAAACCUUUUGCUGAACUAAAACACCUCUCAUUUUUUGUUGCCAAAUGGGAAAAUCCCCUUUUCCAUCAAAAACACCAAGUUCAAAAGAUUUUGUCAUGUUUUAUUGUGAAGAACUAACACACAGUAAUUUUUUCACAAAUUAUAACAAAACAGAAAAUCAACUUUUGAAACAGUUGAAAUUGACCUUCACAAAAAUUUAUGUUUUAGAUCACAUAAAGUAAUAUGCAGUCAAAUAAAUGAGCCACAAUUAUUUUUAUUCACAAACAGUUUCAAUCAAUAGCAGGAUCAUUAGGUAUUCUAAUGUAAACACCACAAGAAUCAUUAGGUAUUCUAAUGUAAACACCACAAGAAUCAGAAAAUACAACAAUGCAGGUAAAACUAUAUCUUAGGAUUAAAAAACAGUAUAUGCAGGACCUAGGGUUGAUCAAAUUCACCAGGAUUCCGUGAGAAUCAAGUUCUCAGGUCAAGGCACAAUUUGAAUCACCCAAACUUAAUUGAUCACAGGCAAAUAUAACAAGAUAUCACAAACUAAUGUAACAGGUUACAAAUGUACAGUAACUAAACAAAUCAACAUAGAGGCAUAUAUACAUAAGGGCAGUGUUUAGUGAGUGUGAGAUCAUAGGGGGUUCAAGAAAAUGCAAACCGAGGAUGGUUAAACAAUUUAACCACUAGCUGAAAUCCAGAAAAAUUAUUGCAGCAAGGAUAAAUUCACUGUAAGUCACCAAGGCGCAAAACGUGCCCCUACAGAUUCAGUCUCCUCCAGUUUCAAGGUCUGGCAGCUCCAAUCAGUUAGGGUUCAAGCACAAAACAAGCCAACAGGAUCCCAGUAUUGUGAUUCUUUUUCAAAUCACAUCGAGGAGUCACAGAAACUCCCUCGCAUUCCACAGUCCAGAGUCGAAUCAACACCACAGACCACUAGAUCGACACAAAAUCAAAACUAGGGUUUCGCGAUCUCCGGUCGAACUCCUGGAAAUUAAUUUUCCAGUGUUCAACCUUCAAUCGAAGACUCACGACCGAACGCCUAUUGCUCUGAUACCACUAUUACAAACUGAAUCCAAGAAAUCAUAAAAUCGCAGAUUACACCAUAAACCCUAAAUCACAACAUCAAGGCUUAGAUCUUUCAAUCGAAGGCUCAGACCACGCCCAUUUACCAUCACAGAGGCACCGGGACUCAAAACGAACCCUCACAACCCAACACACCAAGGUCACUUCACUGGACUCAAGAAAUCAAACUGCCUACCUUCGAUCGAUCACUCACACAAAGGAGAAUCACACAAGAACACGAUUAUCACAAAGAUAAUCAACCAGAAAUCUCACAAAGAGAAGAAGGAAGAGUCACACAGACAAAGGAACUCGAAGGUUCCAAACGGCAGAGAGAAAGAAGAAAAAUAGAAAGUGACGAUCCAAGAGCCAAACAGGGAGUAAGGAGGAUAUUUAUAGUAAAUAUCAUCAACCGUUGAUCAGCGGGUCAAUCCAACGGUCCAAGAGCGACUAAUGGUGUGUGGGCUGGAUAUUGGGCUCGGUUAAGUGGGCCUUCUAGGUAUAUAUAAAAUGGACCAAGU